UGAGGAAUAUUGGGCAAUGCCCGCAAGGGUGACCCAGCAACGCCGCGUGGAGGAUGAAUGUCGUAAGAUUGUACACUCCUGUUAGAGGGGAAGAAUAGUACCGGUUGGACCGGUAUAUGACUGUACCCUCAGAGAAAGCCCCGGCUAACUACGUGCCAGCAGCCGCGGUAAUACGUAGGGGGCAAGCGUUGUCCGGAUUUACUGGGUGUAAAGGGCGCGCAGGCGGGAUAACAAGUCAGAGGUGAAAUCCUACAGCUUAACUGUAGAACUGCCUUUGAUACUUUUAUUCUUGAGUUCGGGAGAGAGAGACGGAAUUCCAGGUGUAGUGGUGAAAUACGGAGAUAUCUGGAAGAACACCAGUGGCGAAGGCGGUCAACUGGCCCAUAACUGACGCUCAUGCACGAAAGCGUGGGGAGCAAACA
rnacentral:rRNA from 1 species